rnacentral:rRNA from 1 species
UACGUAGGGGGCGAGCGUUGUCCGGAUUUAUUGGGCGUAAAGAGCGUGUAGGCGGCCAGGUAGGUCUGCUGUGAAAACUCGAGGCUCAACCUCGAGACGUCGGCGGAAACCAUCUGGCUAGAGUCCGGAAGAGGAGAGUGGAAUUCCUGGUGUAGCGGUGAAAUGCGCAGAUAUCAGGAAGAACACCCGUGGCGAAGGCGGCUCACUGGCCCGGUACUGACGCUGAGAUACGAAAGCGUGGGGAGCAAACAGG